rnacentral:rRNA from 1 species
UACGAAGGGGGCUAGCGUUGCUCGGAAUCACUGGGCGUAAAGCGCACGUAGGCGGAUCGUUAAGUCGGAGGUGAAAUCCUGGAGCUCAACUCCAGAACUGCCUUCGAUACUGGCGAUCUCGAGUUCGGGAGAGGUGAGUGGAACUGCGAGUGUAGAGGUGAAAUUCGUAGAUAUUCGCAAGAACACCAGUGGCGAAGGCGGCUCACUGGCCCGAUACUGACGCUGAGGUGCGAAAGCGUGGGGAGCAAACAGG